AUGUAGAAUCUUUGUAGAGUUCUUUGUAGAAUCGUUCGCCUGUAAUCAGGGUUGAUAUUGACAAUAUUUAGCAACUGUUGCGGCUCUCUACUGUGUCUGCCAUUAACCCUGUGGAUGCUGGACUGUCAGAUUCAAGUUGUUUUGGCUUUUACUACAAAAAGCAUCUUUACAUAUAUCUGCAAUUUAAUGGAUAAUUUAUUUUCCCUUUCCAUACAUCUGAAAGAAGAAACAUAAUUGGUAUGAACGGCACUUAAUUCCAGACUGACUUCUUUUGAACUGUAGAGACUGGAUUUCACCAUGUUGCCCAGGCUGGUCUCAAACUUCUGGCUUCAAACUAUCUGCCUGCCUCAGCCUCCCAAAGUGCUGGGAUUACAGGCGUGAGCCACCAUGCCCUGCCUCUCUUCAAGGACUCUCUUUGCUGCAUCGGCAUCACCUGGUAACGUGGUAGGGCUACAGAAUCUUGGGCCCCACCUUGGACCUACCUAAUCGUCAUCUUAUUCAUUGGUGUUCCCUUCGCCAGAUGAUAAUAAUAAAGUAAAAUGCUCAUGAAAGUGAAGAAUAAGAAAACUUACUGUUAAAAUGCAAAGAAAACCAACCAACCAAGCAACCAACCAACCAACCAACCAACGAACCAGCCAACCAACCAAGCAACCAACCAACUAAGCAACCAAUGAACCAACCAACCAACCAACCAACAAACCAAGCAAGCAAGUAAGCAAGCAAGCAAGCAAGCAAGCAAGCAAGCAAGCAACAAAGCAAGCAAGCAAGCAAGCAACCAACCAAGCAACCAAGCAACCAAGCAACCAAACAACCAAACAACCAACCAACCAAGCAACCAAGCAACCAAUCAAGCAACCAACCAACCAAUCAACCAAGCAACCAACCAAGCAACCAACCAAGCAACCAACGAAGCAAGCAACCAAGCAACCAAUGAAGCAAGCAAGCAAGCAACCAACCAACCAACCAAGCAACCAACCAAGCAACCAACCAACCAACCAACCAACCAACCAGCCAAGCAAGCAAGCAAGCAAGCAAGCAAGCAAGCAAGCAAGCAAGCAAAGCAAGCAAGCAAGCAAGCAAAGCAAGCAAAGCAAGCAAGCAAGCAAGCAAGCAAGCAAGCAAGCAAGCAAGCAAGCAAGCAACCAAGCAACCAACCAGCCAAGCAAGCAAGCAAGCAAGCAACCAACCAACCAAGCAACCAACGAACCAACCAACCAACCAAGCAACCAGCCAACCAAGCAACCAGCCAACCAAGCAACCAAGCAACCAACCAAGCAACCAAGCAACCAACGAACCAAGCAACCAAGCAACCAACGAACCAACCAACCAAGCAACCAGUCAACCAAUAAGUGAAUUAAAAAAAAAGAACAGUUGCAUUUUGACUACUCACUGGGAUUUAUCAGAAUGAACUUGAAAUAAUGUAACAUAACAAUAAAUUCUUUAAACAUAAAAUUUAAGUAUUAAUAUUGAUAGUGAUAUUAAUUUUUUGUUUAUAUAAUUUUCACAUUAAAAGAACUUGGAAGUGAAAUUAUAUAUAAUUUCCACAUGAAGUAUAGAAGUUGUGUUACAUAUUUAUAGCAGUUUUUUAAAAAAAAUAAUUGUUUUCCUGUUACCAAGGUCAUCCCUACACAUUGUAGGAAAUUUAGGACAUAGAGAUUAGUGAAAAGAAGAAAAUAAAAAUCACAGGUAACCAGAAAGGCAGAGAGAAUCUCUGUGAAUUUUUGUGUACACCUUUCCAGUCCUUUUAUCUGUGUAUAUUUAUUUUUUUUAAAAUGGCAUUGCCCUGAUUCUUUCAAAACUGACAUUUAAUUUGUGUGUAAUAUGAGGAAGGGAUGAAACUGGAAUGCAGAGGAAGAUGAGAUUCUGCAAUGACUCUGAUAAUAACAGACGAAACAAAGAACUGCUAGUCUCAUGGAAAGCAAGUGAUAUUGUUCUCUGCUGCUUUUAUGUAUGCCAGACCAAUAGCCCGUGACUCCCUGAAAUUUUCAGCGUCAGAGUCAUAUAUGUUUGUGUGACUUAAAGGCACGUUUCCACAUGAUUAGCUUUUGUUUUUUAGCUGUGAUUAGUUUCAGAAACAACUGAAUUUCCAUAUUUGACAUAUUUGAACUUUAUAAGUUAAUCACGUGGAUUUAGUAGUUAAGACUCUAGCACAUUUUCCUCUCUGAUUUUAGCAGACGAAAGCACUUGUCAGGAAACGUCUAGCUUCAAAUCUUCUGUGUCGGAGGUGUGUACGAUGAAGCAGAAACUGAGAAGUCAACUGCAGUAAUUUUACUCCCAAGCUGGAGGCCAGUGUGAGAACCAACUAGGUUAAAAUCCAGAUAAAACUAAUUGUGCAGCAAAAAAAAAAAAAAAAACUUAAAAAGAAACAAACCUCAUUUGUGCAAUCCCUGAAAAUAAACAGAAAACAGUGAGAACAUGAGACUCCAGAUAACAAA